CCUACGGGAGGCAGCAGUGAGGAAUAUUGGUCAAUGGACGAGAGUCUGAACCAGCCAAGUAGCGUGAAGGAUGACUGCCCUAUGGGUUGUAAACUUCUUUUAUAUGGGAAUAAAAUGUUCCACGUGUGGGAUUUUGUAUGUACCAUAUGAAUAAGGAUCGGCUAACUCCGUGCCAGCAGCCGCGGUAAUAAGGAGGAUCCGAGCGUUAUCCGGAUUUAUUGGGGUUAAAGGGAGCGUAGGUGGUUUGUUAAGUCAGUUGUGAAAGUUUGCGGCUCAACCGUAAAAUUGCAGUUGAAACUGGCAGUCUUGAGUGCAGUAGAGGUGGGCGGAAUGCGUGGUGUAGCGGUGAAAUGCUUAGAUAUCACGAAGAACUCCGAUUGCGAAGGCAGUUCACUGGACUGCAACUGACACUGAGGCUCGAAAGUGUGGGUAUCAAACAGGAUUAGAUACCCUGGUAGUC
rnacentral:rRNA from 1 species